CCUUCGGGUGGCAGCAGUGAGGAAUAUUGGUCAAUGGGCGCUAGCCUGAACCAGCCAAGUAGCGUGAAGGAUGACUGCCCUAUGGUUUUUCAACUUCUUUUGUAUGGGAGUAAAGUGCAGUAUGUAUACUGCUUUUCUUGUACCUUAUGAAUAAGGAUCGGCUAACUCCGUGCCAGCCGCCGCGGUAAUACGGAGGAUCCGGGCGUUAUCCGGAUUUAUUGGGUUUAAAGGGAGCGUAGGCGGGUUGUUAAGUCAGUUGUGAAAGUUUUCGGCUCAACCGUAAAAUUGCAGUUGAUACUGGCAUCCUUGAGUACAGUAGAGGUAGGCGGAAUUCGUGGUGUAGCGGUGAAAUGCUUAGAUAUAACGAAGAACUCCGAUUGCGAAGGCAGCCUGCUGGACUGUAACUGACGCUGAGGCUCGAAAGCGUGGGGAGCAAACAGGAUUAGAUACCCCUGUAGUC
rnacentral:rRNA from 1 species